UAUCUGUACAACAUAUAUUUCACUUGUCAGAUGAGCAAUAUCAAUGUCUCAUCUUUUACCACUUGUAUAUCAUAACGUUAUAUCACAAAAAGUGAGGAUCCAUAUUAUAAGCUACUGUCAGAACCACUAACCAUGUCUUGCGAUUUGUUUUUCUUAUUAAAAUGGAGUGUUAAUUAGAUCUUGAAAGUUUGAGGUCAAACCUGUGCAUCAGUUUUCCUCAUCAAGAAGGGGCCGAGAUGCAGCGGCUGCAAAAAGAUCACCAAAACAACUGUGUGAUCAGUGAGAAAUUGGGAGUGCUACUUCUUUGGUUGUUAAUUGUUUCACAGAAGGGUGUGGCUGUAUAAACAAGGGUAUAAAUCUGGAAAAAAACCUCACAUAAUACCAUGCAACUUCAAUGGAGAAGGGUUACAUCUAACCAAGGAUAAUUUGGUUCCUUUAUUCAGAA